GCACAUUUUUAUUUCAUCUUAACGCUGUGUGAUUAAAAGAAUAAACACAAAUAGCAGGAUAGGCACACAUAUGUGCUAUAUCUUUCCCCACUGCAAAGGCACUGCACCGAUACUGUUAACAUAUUGGCAUAGUUCAUCUCUGUGCUGCUUGGCUCGAGCUGUAGCAUGUCGCUAUUUGUUGUUUGUAUAUAUCACGCAGUCUGUCUUCUGGUUGCCUCUUUUGAAUGACGAAUACACACUACCGCCGCCUGCUGGUAAGGAGAGUUAUUGCCACUCACGCAUGCGCAGUGCGUACGUGCUACUUGGCCGUCGGCUGAAGUCUUUGCGGUGUGUUCCAGUGUGACUGUUUGGCCAAGACGCAGGAGACGUGAGGCGACACAACAGUCGGGUCCGUCGGGACGUGUUCUUUGGUGUUUGUUUGGUGUGUAGGGCCUUUAGGGUUUGAGAGGUGUUUACCUGAUGGUUUCAGAGGUGUUUACCUGAUGGUUUCAGAGGUGUUUACCUGAUGGUUUCAGAGGUGUUUACCUGAUGGUUUCAGAGGUGUUUACCUGAUGGUUUCAGAGGUGUUUACCUGAUGGUUUCAGAGGUGUUUACCUGAUGGUUUCAGAGGUGUUUACCUGAUGGUUUCAGAGGUGUUUACCUGAUGGUUUCAGAGGUGUUUACCUGAUGGUUUCAGAGGUGUUUCAGAGGUGUUUACCUGAUGGUUUCAGAGGUGUUUCAGAGGUGUUUCAGAGGUGUUUACCUGAUGGUUUCAGAGGUGUUUCAGAGGUGUUUACCUGAUGGUUUCAGAGGUGUUUCAGAGGUGUUUACCUGAUGGUUUCAGAGGUGUUUCAGAGGUGUUUACCUGAUGGUUUCAGAGGUGUUUACCUGAUGGUUUCAGAGGUGUUUCAGAGGUGUUUCAGAGGUGUUUCAGAGGUGUUUCAGAGGUGUUUCAGAGGUGUUUCAGAGGUGUUUACCUGAUGGUUUCAGAGGUGUUUCAGAGGUGUUUACCUGAUGGUUUCAGAGGUGUUUACCUGAUGGUUUCAGAGGUGUUUCAGAGGUGUUUACCUGAUGGUUUCAGAGGUGUUUCAGAGGUGUUUCAGAGGUGUUUACCUGAUGGUUUCAGAGGUGUUUCAGAGGUGUUUACCUGAUGGUUUCAGAGGUGUUUCAGAGGUGUUUACCUGAUGGUUUCAGAGGUGUUUCAGAGGUGUUUCAGAGGUGUUUACCUGAUGGUUUCAGAGGUGUUUACCUGAUGGUUUCAGAGGUGUUUCAGAGGUGUUUCAGAGGUGUUUCAGAGGUGUUUACCUGAUGGUUUCAGAGGUGUUUCAGAGGUGUUUACCUGAUGGUUUCAGAGGUGUUUACCUGAUGGUUUCAGAGGUGUUUACCUGAUGGUUUCAGAGGUGUUUCAGAGGUGUUUACCUGAUGGUUUCAGAGGUGUUUCAGAGGUGUUUCAGAGGUGUUUACCUGAUGGUUUCAGAGGUGUUUACCUGAUGGUUUCAGAGGUGUUUCAGAGGUGUUUCAGAGGUGUUUCAGAGGUGUUUACCUGAUGGUUUCAGAGGUGUUUCAGAGGUGUUUACCUGAUGGUUUCAGAGGUGUUUACCUGAUGGUUUCAGACGUGUUUACCUGAUGGUUUCAGAGGUGUUUCAGAGGUGUUUCAGAGGUGUUUCAGAGGUGUUUACCUGAUGGUUUCAGAGGUGUUUACCUGAUGGUUUCAGAGGUGUUUCAGAGGUGUUUCAGAGGUGUUUACCUGAUGGUUUCAGAGGUGUUUACCUGAUGGUUUCAGAGGUGUUUCAGAGGUACCUGAUGGUUUCAGAGGUGUUUACCUGAUGGUUUCAGAGGUGUUUACCUGAUGGUUUCAGAGGUGUUUACCUGAUGCUUGGAUCAGUGUUCUCCUCUGUUCUUCAGAGAGCCUGACUUGUUGCACCUUAAGCAUUUGGUACGGGAACAAAAACCUUCAAUAAAUAAAAAACCUUAUAGAGAAAGGCUGACUUCCUGUUGGGUUUGCGAUGUUCCUCCAAGAGGCUUUUCUGUACGUCUCAGCACGCUUCAUAUGUCCACCAAGUUUCAUACGUCUACUUCACCGUUAAAGAGGGGGGCUUUUACUUUGAGAACUGAAUGUGACCCGUCCCAGUGGUUCAGUGACCAUCAGUUAAUGCAUGUGUGUGUGCAGGUGUAUCUCACUAAUCCCCCGUGUCAACCGACCUGGUGAUAAACCUGAUUCUGAUUCUGUUGUUGAUUUAAUGUGUGAACGAUACAGAGAGGUGAAGCUGUCAUGUGUAACUGUUGGAGCGGUGAGCAGGCCGCUUGUUUCUGGGUAUUUAGGAGUCAGGUGGUCUGUGAGGGGUUUUAUUGGUUAAGAGGUCCUUGGUAUGAAAACGUUUGAGAACUGGAGAGGGAAUCUCCUUCUGUCUGCAUGUGGAUAGAUCCUGUUGGUGCACUUUUCACGCUGCUAUGGACGCUCUGCACUAAUGUACUUUUCCCAAAGAUAUUGAA